UACGACCCUUUGCGUGUCCCUUUCUGAUUGGGUGAAGAAAAAAUAUACUGCCCAAAUCUCUUUCUAUUAUUUUUGUGUCUUCCUCUCUCUCUCUUUUGGAAUCGGUUGAUCAAAACAUGAAUCGGAAUAAUUUUGUGAGAUAUGAGAGUUUGGUUAAAUUUGUUUCUAUGUCAGGAUAUGGUGCCAAGUGAGUAUCAGAGGAGCUGGAGGGCGUUGCUUGUUUGUUUCCACGGUGUUUCUUCAUCUGCUUUGACAACGACCCAGUACAGGUUUAAAAUCUUUUUGAAACAAAAAAUGAUAACUACCCAAGAGAUGGGAGAUGCGAAGUUGGAUCUUUUGCUCUGUUUCAAUUUUCUUUCUUAAUUGCUAUAUAUAUAGUUAGAGUACACGAGUUCUCUAUACUGCCGUGUGUUGUUUCCUUCUUCUCUUGCAGCCAAGACCCGGACGUGUGUGUGUAAUAUUUUCUUGGAAAGUCUUUCUCUGCAAUUUUUGGGUUUAGCCGUUUAGGUGGUGUCAAUGCUACUUGGUUAUACAAUAUAUUACGAACGUACUUGUUAAGAAUGUCACCUACCUACCUUUCCACACUUUUUGAUGACUGCUGUCUUUGGCUUGAGACAAACUAUAUAUGACUGGUUUCUUGGCCAAAGUGCAGAUUGAUUCUUCAGCACACUUGGCUAAUCGUUCUAGCAGUAGUGGUUUGGCUGGAUCAUCCUCUACUGGUGCUUCUCUCAAUGGAAACGAUUAUGAUCACAAUUAUAGAUGAAAGUGAAGAAGUACCCAUGAAUUUAUGUAUAAGCACCAAUCAAGAAUACAAUUAAUCGUUUUUGUAAUGUGUUUUAGACAUGCUUUUAUGUAUUGUUUGUUUAAAAUCUUAUGAAUAUAUUCAUUUUCAAGUUUU